UAGAACAUACGUUAAUAAUUUUACUUUAAAUAAUUGGAAGAUAUAACCAUGGUUAUCUAAUGUCUAAUAUUUUUUAUCAUCCGUGGAUGUCGUAAAGGGCAAACAUAAGACUCUUGAAAGAAAAUUCAACAUCAAACUACCUGGUUUUGGUAGCUGUGGCUGGCUGGCUUGGUGUCCCAUUUUUGUGAUGAUAUACUCAUACUUAGCAGAUUAAAUACCAUUAAUUAGCAAUCACGGCCUUCCUGAUUGUAAGGGUAGGUUGUAGAUAAAAUAAUAUGUCAACAAAAUAUUCCGAAUGGGAUUAAACAAAAAAUCUUAGAUGGACCUAAUAUAACGUACUUACGUAUGAAGUUAUAAGUAAAGACAUUCUCAAUAAAAAAUAUUCAAUCUGCUGAGUCAGGAUUGAUGUUGUUUUUACGUGAUUAAAAACUACAAAAAUUGGAAGAUUCUUAAUUCAUCUAUCACUCACACAUAUACAAUUAUUCAUCAUUUGUGUAUAUUUACGUUACGUGCUAUAUUCGUAAUUUUUUAUUAUAAUAAUAAUACAUGAAUAUUUAUAAUUGCAAUGUUGAAAAUUGUUUUAGGUAUAUGAACAAGCUAUUGAAACACAAACUAGUCAUGCUUUAUAUUUUGUAUGAGUAACAUGAAUGUAAGGUGAUAUAUAUUAACGUCAUAAGGAAAAGAUAACUGUAUACUAUUGUAUGUAGAUAACAAUAACAUAUACCUACAUAUUUGUUAUUAAGUUAUACAUAACGCCCGCCAAGCAAAAUAUUAAGACGCUUGAAGAGGGAUACUUAAUAAUAAUAAUAAAUCAACGAGAUAAUCAAAAUUGUUAUUAUAAAACGGUUCUUUUCUUGAUAUGCCUUCAGUACAUACUUUAUAUAUGACAAAUAAUGAAACGAACAGCGAUACGAUAUAUGACAAAGUGUGAAACAAUCUGAUAAAUUUAUCUUAUCUUACCUACAUACCCAUAAAUUGCAAUUUGUGGGUUUUCGGCUGUUAUUGGAUAAAUAGAUACUUAAAUUCAAUAUUAUACAUAGUGUUAAAUUAAUUGUUAGAGGAACAGAGUCGUAUACAUAUACGACUCAGUUAUUGCAGAUUAAAUCAUGGGCCUAUGCUGCAGUUGUUUCUGUGAUGAUGGAGGAGGCGUUAAUGUAGUGGAACAACCCCAGGGACCUGGCUUUGGUGGACCAGACUCAGUUAUGGUGGUAGAAGAUGCUCCUGGUGGAAAUCCAUUGGCUAGAUAAUGAACAAUGCGAUCAGAAAUAGAAAUGUGUUCAAUUCGGUAGAAUUGAAACUUCAUUUCGUAAAUUAAUUAGGAAUAAAUUUGCGGACAUAUUUGUAAUUUUAUUUUUAGAAUUGUUAUUUGUCCGUUAAAACAAGUACAUAUUUUUAUAUAAUUUUAUAUAACAUUAAAGUUACAUUUUUAUUGUAAUGUGUACUUAUUAAUUAAAAAUUAAAUGAAGUACCUAAC